GAUGAAGAACGUAGCGAAAUGCGAUAAGUAGUGUGAAUUGCAGAAUUCAGUGAAUCAUCGAAUCUUUGAACGCACAUUGCGCCCCUUGGUAUUCCGGGAGGUAUGCCUGUUCGAGCGUCAUUUGUACCCUCAAGCUCUGCUUGGUGUUGGGUGUUUGUUCCGCCUCUGUGUGUGAACUCGCCUCAAAACAAUUGGCAGCCGGCGUACUUGUUUCGGAGCGCAGCACAUUUUGCGAUCCAGAUCAACGUACAGCGGCAUCCAAGAAGCCUUAUUUAACGCUCUUGACCUCGGAUCAGGUAGGGAUACCCGCUGAACUUAAGCAUAUCAAUAAGCGGAGA
rnacentral:misc_RNA from 1 species